AUUUUCCUUAUUUAGUCAUCCACCAGAAGCCAUAAACAAGAAUCUGGAAUGUGGAUGAACUGCAAAACCAUUAAUGUUUUUUUUUUCUUAGAAACUUUCCAGAAAUAUUAAUUGAAAGGUUCAAUGUCCAGGACCAAAUAUUAGGGAAGAAUUUAGAUUACUUAUCUUGUGUUUCAUAAGCUAAUGCGGAAACAUCAAAGGAGAUGGCAACAUCAUGUUUGGUUUCAUGAUGCAGUGGAAAGCUAUCACUGUGCAGAGAUUCUCAGUAUGUUUUUGAUCAUUGAAACAGUUGUUUUGGAAAUGAGAAGUUGUAGAAAUGAUCCCUGUUACUUCUCUCCUUCACAGAUCCCUGCUGUCAUAAGUCCUUACAUGCACGACAGAGAAAGUGGUAGCAAGUUAGAGCAGGACAGUGACCUGGAAGCCUUCAGAACAACACUGAUCUGUCUUUGGAUUGGCUUGCUUCAGGCAUUACAAUGA
rnacentral:lncRNA from 1 species